rnacentral:misc_RNA from 1 species
GUAGGUGAACCUGCGGAGGGAUCAUUACACAAUAUGCAAGCGGGCUGGGAUCCCCGGGAGGGCGUCUAUUCUGCCGUUUCCGCCGCAUCUGCGGUGCUGAAGCGACAGGGCGGGCGCCUUUUCGGCCAGCCUGACUCCAUAUUCACCCAUGUCUUUUGCGUACUACUUGUUUCCUUGGUGGGUUCGCCCACCAACAGGACCAUUUAAACCUUUUUGUAAUUGCAAUCAGCGUCAGCAAAAUAAUGUAAUAAAUUACAACUUUCAACAACGGAUCUCUUGGUUCUG